rnacentral:lncRNA from 1 species
CGGGAGACUAGCUCGGCGCUGGGGCUCGGCUCCAGCGCCUCCUCUCCGCUCCCUCCUUCCUCCUCCCCACCCCCUACAGGGAUCUGACUAAUAUGCCGGGGCUCUGCUUGCCAGCUCAGCUGGAAAGGAAUUUAACCAUUGCGCGGCCCCCACGGCAGAGCCGGGAGCCGAGACCUCCCCGGGCGAGCGGCAGCCCUUCCUCCGUGGCGGCGGCCCCCGCCGAGGCUCCCCCGCCGGAGGGUGCCCRGAGGAGGCAGGAGCACCGCGCCGGCACCAGCCCUGGCAGCAAUACGCCGUGGGGCCGGGGCGGGACGUGCCCUGCUUUGCUGUAGCGCCCGAGCACAAGCCGACGUAGCUUCGCAGCCGCGCAGCGAGCGAGGGGAGCCUGAGCCGCGUGCGAGAGCAGCACAGCCCCAGCGCGAAGCCUUGACCGAGGUUAUCCCACAAAGUCUGUGGCGGAGGCAAGAGCUGACCCCCUCGAAGGCCGCAGCGUGACGGUGUGUUGCAACACCUCCCUGCUCCCGGGAAAACUCUCCUUGAAAUCUCCUGGCCGUUGCAGAAGGACUUCGAGGCCAGAACACAUAUCCUCAGCCCCAAGCUUGGCCACGAGGCGCCGGCUCUGCUGCCGCUAACCCGCUCGCUCGGGCUGACACGGCSGGGCUGCUCUAACGCCAGGGCACAAACCAUCCCGCAGGAGGACGCUACCUUGGCCGGACACCGCUGCCGAGCAGGGCGAGCUGUAAGUCCGUCCCCUCUGGAGACGGGGCUGUGGAGGAGGAAAGGGCACAGGACACAAGGCAGGGACCCAGGAAGCCCCCUUGGGUGCUGGGAUGCCCUUCAGAGUGGGCUCCAGCAUACGCCGGGGCACGUGUGGUGCAUUGAGGAGAAGCAACCUGACAGAGGAAGAUGUCUCCUCUCCCUGCCCUCCCUUAAAUGGCAGUUCUGCUGUAAAACACGCAUUGCCGGCGACGAAGCUUUCUGCAGCCCAAAUUCUGCUGGUGCUCACGUCUCUGCAGAGCCGCUGCCCCCCAGGCUCGGCGGCUGCAGGGAGCCGGGGCGCCGCACGCCGCCUCCCCGUGACUCACGAGAGGGGAAGAGAAAAAGAGCGCAGCUCGCUCCCGCCCCGGCUUUCCGCGCACCGGGAAAACGACUCGGUGCCGGCGCCGGACACUAGCGGCAGGGGAGCAAGGACAAGCCCUUCUCAGCCCCGCGCGAGUAGCCAGCGGGGGGCAGGUUCCCCUCUCACUCCCGGAGUCCCGAUUCAGGAUGGGGAAACGCGUGUCUGGGAGCAAACCGCUCCCUCGGCCGCUCCAUGGAAACGGG